UACGGGGGGAGCAAGCGUUGUUCGGAUUUACUGGGCGUAAAGGGCGCGUAGGCGGUCAGCACAAGUCAGUUGUGAAAUCUCCGGGCUUAACUCGGAAAGGUCAACUGAUACUGUGCGACUAGAGUGCGGAAGGGGCAACUGGAAUUCUUGGUGUAGCGGUGAAAUGCGUAGAUAUCAAGAGGAACACCUGCGGCGAAGGCGGGUUGCUGGGGCGACACUGACGCUCAUGCACGAAAGCGUGGGGAGCAAACAGG
rnacentral:rRNA from 1 species